CCUACGGGAGGCAGCAGUGGGGAAUAUUGGGCAAUGGGCGAAAGCCUGACCCAGCAACGCCGCGUGAAGGAAGAAGGCUUUCGGGUUGUAAACUUCUUUUGACAGGGAAGAGCAGAAGACGGUACCUGUCGAAUAAGCCACGGCUAACUACGUGCCAGCAGCCGCGGUAAUACGUAGGGGGCAAGCGUUAUCCGGAUUUACUGGGUGUAAAGGGAGCGCAGACGGCUGUGCAAGUCUGGGGUGAAGGCGGGGGCCCAACCCCCGGACUGCCCUGGAAACUGUAAAGCUGGAGUGCAGGAGAGGUAAGCGGAAUUCCUAGUGUAGCGGUGAAAUGCGUAGAUAUUAGGAGGAACACCAGUGGCGAAGGCGGCUUACUGGACUGCAACUGACGUUGAGGCUCGAAAGCGUGGGGAGCAAACAGGAUUAGAUACCCCAGUAGUC
rnacentral:rRNA from 1 species